rnacentral:rRNA from 1 species
AUUGAACGCUGGCGGCAGGCCUAACACAUGCAAGUCGAGCGAGCGGCGGACGGGUGAGUAAUGUCUGGGAAACUGCCUGAUGGAGGGGGAUAACUACUGGAAACGGUAGCUAAUACCGCAUACCAUCAGAUGUGCCCAGAGGGGAUUAGCUCGUAGGUGGGGGAACGUCUCACCUAGGCGACGAUCCCUAGCUGGUCUGAGAGGAUGACCAACCACACUGGAACUGAGACACGGUCCAGACUCCGACGUGAGGCAGCAGUGGGGAAUAUUGCACAAUGGGCGUAAGCCUGAUGCAGCCAUGCCGCGGGUGUGAAGAAGGCCUUCGGGUUGUAAAGCACUGUCAGCGGGGAGGCGUUACCCGCAGAAGAAGCACCGGCUAACUCCGUGCCAGCAGCCGCGGUAAUUC